GUGCGAAUCUGGUAUCUGUGCGUAAUAAUAGGGAAAAUGGUUUCAUGCUGAGUCUGUUGCCUUCUCCUUCCACACAAUCUUGGGGUGGUGGUCAUGAUAGUGUACAAGAAGGACAGUGGUUUUGGAGUGAUGGAAUGCCGUUUUUUUAUGCCAACUGGUGCCCUGGAGAACCUAACAAUCAGCGUCGUGAGAACUGUUUGGAGAUCAACUAGACCUCUAACCGUUGCUGGAAUGAUGCGACCUGUUCAAAAUUAAAGAACUAUAUUUGUGUCAUGUGAGAUCAUAUGCAGUCAUCCUGUUCCACAGUUACUUUACUAUAAAGUACUUAACUAUAUUUACUUUUUCUGAUCUUAUCUUUACAAAAAUGAUAUUCUGAAGUAAAAUUUCUUCUAAACUUUAAUCUCUUCUCAAUAUCUUCUCUGCAACACUCCUCAA